rnacentral:tRNA from 2 species
CGGCGGGGCUUCCAGUGUUUCAAAUAGUGGCGGAGAGAUAGGGAUUUGAACCCUAGGUACCCGCGAGGGUACAACGGAUUUCGAAUCCGUCCCGUUCGGCCA